GGAAUAUUGGUCAAUGGGCGCAAGCCUGAACCAGCCAUGCCGCGUGGAGGAUGACAGCCUUCUGGGUUGUAAACUUCUUUUAUAUGGGAAGAAAAGUACGGUUUCUACUGUAUCCGACGGUACCAUAUGACUAAGCACCGGCUAACCCCCUGCCCGCAGCCGCGGUAAUACGGAGGGUGCAAGCGUUAUCCGGAUUUACUGGGUUUAAAGGGUGUGUAGGCGGACAUUUAAGUCAGAGGUGAAAUCUCCGGGCUCAACCCGGAAACUGCCUUUGAUACUAUUUGUCUUGAAUUUCGUUGAGGUUGGCGGAAUAUAUCAUGUAGCGGUGAAAUGCAUAGAUAUGAUAUAGAACACCGAUUGCGAAGGCAGCUGGCUGAACGACGAUUGACGCUGAGGCACGAAAGCGUGGGUAGCG
rnacentral:rRNA from 1 species